rnacentral:rRNA from 1 species
UACGUAGGGUGCGAGCGUUAAUCGGAAUUACUGGGCGUAAAGCGUGCGUAGGCGGUCCGCUGUGUCCCGUGUGAAAGCCCACAGCUCAACUGUGGAAAUGCAUCUAAAACUGCAAGACUAGAGUGCGAGAGAGGUGAAGGGAAUUCCCGGUGUAAGGGUGAAAUCUGCAGAGAUCGGGAGGAACACCAGUAGCGAAGGCGCUUCACUGGCUCGUAACUGACGCUGAGUGCACGAAGGUAUGGGGAGCAAACGGG